UAAAUAUUGAUUAUGUAUUUAACGUUCUCGAAUUCCCAAGAGCUAAGAAAAUAUAUAUAUUAAUGUAGAAUAAUUAUUUUUAAUAUUUUCUUUGUAAUUAUAUGUUAGUCGAGUGGGAUGAUAUCUGGUUUUUUAAGAAAUUAAUUUAAUUGGGCUUGGUUGGUAAAUUUCGUUUUUUUAGAAGUGAUUUUUUGUUUCAAAGUAAUAGCCUUAGGGAUAAGCUUUGGGCUAGAUUUUUAUAACAUCUUAAAUUUUAAGUAUGAAAUAGGAUUAGAAGUGUUCAAUUUAGGAGUGUGUAAUUACAGGUUACUUGAAAAUCUGAUUUUUUAUUGUUUAGGUUUUUUAUUAAAAUAAUAAGUUUAUUUUUAGAUCUUAUGAAAUAAUGAUAAAAUUAGUAUAUUUAAUUGUUUUUAAAAUUUAGGAUUUUUAGGUUAGGUUAAGGAACUCGGCAAAAUUGAAUUUUCUGCCUGUUUAAUAAAAACAUGGCCUUUUGAUUAUAAUUUGAGGUCUGACCUGCCCAAUGAUUUUUUGAAUGGCCGCGGUAUUUUGACCGUGCAAAGGUAGCAUAAUCAUUAGUUUUUUAAUUGAAAGCUGGAAUGAAUGGUUGGACAAGAAAAUUUCUGUCUCUAUCUAAUUUUUAGAAUUUUAUUUUUUAGUUAAAAAGCUUAAAUUUUUUUAAGGGACGAGAAGACCCUAUAGAAUUUUACAAAUUUGCUAAUUUUUAAUUUUUAGUUUUAUUAAUAGAAAUUAAGUUGAAUUUGUUUAGUUGGGGUGAUUGGAAAAUUUGGCGAACUUUUCUUGAAUUUGAAUCAUUGAUACAUGAAUAAUUGAUCCAUUAGUUAUGAUUAUAAGAUUAAAUUACCUUAGGGAUAACAGCGUUAUUAAUUUGGAGAGUUCUAAUCGAUAAAUUAGUUUGCGACCUCGAUGUUGGAUUAAAAUUUACUGUUGGUGUAGCAGCUGAUUGGUUAAGUCUGUUCGACUUUUAAAAUUUU
rnacentral:rRNA from 1 species